CGGCCGCGGUAUCCUAACCGUGCGAAGGUAGCGUAAUCACUUGUUCUUUAAAUGAGGACUAGUAUGAAUGGCACCACGAGGGUUAUGCUGUCUCCUUUUUCUAAUCAAUGAAACUGAUCUCCCCGUGAAGAAGCGGGGAUGAAAUUAUAAGACGAGAAGACCCUAUGGAGCUUUAAACCAUGUAACACUGGCUUAAACAUUAAAAUAUUCCAGAAUUUUCAUAACUACUCUAGCCAUUAUGAUUACUAGUUUUAGGUUGGGGUGACCACGGAGCAAAAAUUAACCUCCAUGUUGAACGGAGCUACUCCUGAACCAAAAGCCACGACUUUAAGCACUAAUAAAUUAACAUUAAUUGACCCAAUAUUUUUGAUCAACGAACCAAGUUACCCUAGGGAUAACAGCGCAAUCCAUUUUAAGAGCCCCUAUCGACAAAUGGGUUUACGACCUCGAUGUUGGAUCAGGGUAUCCCAGUGGUGCAGCCGCUACUAAAGGUUCGUUUGUUCAACGAUUAAAACCCUACGUGAUCUGAGUUCAGACCGGAGGGACGUGAUCUGAGUUCAGACCGGACGUGAUCUGAGUUCAGACCGGACGUGA
rnacentral:rRNA from 1 species